CACUCCUGCGGGAGGCAGCAGUGGGGAAUCUUGCGCAAUGGGCGAAAGCCUGACGCAGCCAUGCCGCGUGAAUGAUGAAGGUCUUAGGAUUGUAAAAUUCUUUCACCGGGGACGAUAAUGACGGUACCCGGAGAAGAAGCCCCGGCUAACUUCGUGCCAGCAGCCGCGGUAAUACGAAGGGGGCUAGCGUUGCUCGGAAUUACUGGGCGUAAAGGGAGCGUAGGCGGACAUUUAAGUCAGGGGUGAAAUCCCGGGGCUCAACCUCGGAAUUGCCUUUGAUACUGGGUGUCUUGAGUAUGAGAGAGGUGUGUGGAACUCCGAGUGUAGAGGUGAAAUUCGUAGAUAUUCGGAAGAACACCAGUGGCGAAGGCGACACACUGGCUCAUUACUGACGCUGAGGCUCGAAAGCGUGGGGAGCAAACAGGAUUAGAAACCCUAGUAGUCCCAUG
rnacentral:rRNA from 1 species